rnacentral:rRNA from 1 species
CCUACGGGAGGCAGCAGUGGGGAAUAUUGCACAAUGGGGGAAACCCUGAUGCAGCGACGCCGCGUGGACGAUGAAGUAUUUCGGUACGUAAAGUCCUGUCAGCAGGGAAGAAAACGACAGUACCUGACCAAGAAGCCCCGGCUAACUACGUGCCAGCAGCCGCGGUAAUACGUAGGGGGCGAGCGUUAUCCGGAUUCACUGGGCGUAAAGGGAGCGCAGGCGGCACGGCAAGUCCGGUGUGAAAGCCCGGGGCCCAACCCCGGGACUGCACUGGAAACUGCCGGGCUGGAGUGCCGGAGGGGUAA